rnacentral:rRNA from 1 species
CACUCCUACGGGAGGCAGCAGUGGGGAAUUUUGGACAAUGGGCGAAAGCCUGAUCCAGCAAUGCCGCGUGAGUGAAGAAGGCCUUCGGGUUGUAAAGCUCUUUUGUCAGGGAAGAAACGGUGAAAGCUAAUAUCUUUUGCUAAUGACGGUACCUGAAGAAUAAGCACCGGCUAACUACGUGCCAGCAGCCGCGGUAAUACGUAGGGUGCAAGCGUUAAUCGGAAUUACUGGGCGUAAAGCGUGCGCAGGCGGUUUUGUAAGUCUGAUGUGAAAUCCCCGGGCUCAACCUGGGAAUUGCAUUGGAGACUGCAAGGCUAGAAUCUGGCAGAGGGGGGUAGAAUUCCACGUGUAGCAGUGAAAUGCGUAGAUAUGUGGGGGAACACCGAUGGCGAAGGCAGCCCCCUGGGUCAAGAUUGACGCUCAUGCACGAAAGCGUGGGGAGCAAACAGGAUUAGAAACCCGAGUAGUCCCAUG